UGCAGGCAAGAAGAUGGAACUGGAAAAUAUCAUCUGAAUGAGGACUGAAGUCAAGGACUGCUGUGGUUGAAUUAAGGAAAGGCUGGAAGAAGCUGAAGAGGUUGGCGACCCCAAAAGAAGACCAGAAGUCUCAACUCUCCCAGACUCCUGAGAUCUCUCAGACAUUGAGUCCCCAACCAGCAGCAUACAAGAACUGGUGGGAGGACCCUGACGCAUAUACAGCAGAGGACUGCCUGGUCUGGCCUCAGUGAGAGAAUCCUUGCCUAACCCUUUAGAGACUUGAGGACCCAGGAAGUGGGGAGACCUGGUCAGUGUCUUCGAGUAACUGUUGGUUGCCUUUGGUGGCCAGAUGAUGGUGUGAGAUCCCCUAAACUGGAUUUACUGACAUUUGUGAGUUGCCAUGUGGGUUCAGGAGAGUCAACCUGGUUUCUCUGGAAGAGGAGAUAGUCCUUUUUAUUACUGAGCCAUACCUCCGUUCCCUCUUUCAAAUUCUGUUUUUAAUUCUUCUCUCAUGUAUUACAGCCCAAAAAAGAGAUUUUUAUCUCUCCUCUCCUCAGGGUCAGUCUUCCCUACCUGUCUACUCCCCCCAAGACCUUUCCUGUAUUAUUGUCAUGUUUGUCUCUAAUGUAGUAUCUUGUUUGUUGAGUUUUGUUAUUUGGUUACACAGUCAUUGCUAAAAGAUUUGUCGUAAGAUUUAAAUUUGUGUUUUGUUUUUCAAACGAUUGUAAAGGAAAUUUAUUGUGUUUCCAAAAUAUUGUCAAUAUUAAAAUAUGAAAACUCUCUAUGUUUAUUUAGUGGUUCAGUGGUAGCUAUCAACACAGCAGAAUCCAAAAUCAGCUUGGAGGCAAGUCCUUCGGACAUCUCUGAGGGGUCAUCUUGUUGUUUGAAGAACCAUCUUAAUUGUAACUAAGAACAUCCCCUGGGUGGAAAAUCCUGUAUUGCAUAAAAUGAUGAAGGCAGGAGAAAUGACUUCAAUUCAACAUGAAAUUAAUCCCCCAGACCAUCAUUAGAGUGCAAAGGUGACCUGAGCAUCUGAGCCUUCAGGAAGACAUGCUUCAUGGAUCUCAAUUUGGAUUUCUGAACAGAGAAACAGGUAUCAUCAAUUACUGGUACUUGUAAUGCACAACAUUGCCAUGAAGAAAACGGAAUUAGCACAAUUUGUGAGGCUUCAGGGGAAAGGUUCGAUGAAGAAAUCUUACUCAGGACAAGUGCUCCAAAGUCUCUCACUGUCGGUAUAAUAUCCAGUUGUGGUUCCCCAGGAGCAUGCAGAGUACCUUCCAACUCCAUGAACAUUACAUGUGAAGCUUCAAGUUUGGUAUCUGCACAAUUUCUCAAUGGUUGAUGACAGAAGUAUCUCUGAUACGGAGUCUCAGUGUACUUUGUAGUGAGGUUGCAAAUUCAAGCACUAAUGCAAUGCUUCCUGUCAGCCUCCUGAGAAGAUCACACUGGAGACCACUACUCUGAUCUAUGAUAUAAACUGCAAGAACUUUCCUGAUGAGGAAUAGGACUCUGUGUUUAUACCCUUAACCAAUGCUGUAACUGUGAUCUAUGGCAAGGGAAGAACAAGAUCUCAGGACUGGUUCAUCACCUUACUAAGAUAUUCAAAAUUACAUAAUACUAGAAGAACUUUUUUUUCUUACAAUCUUAGAAUGUGGAGGGAAUCUUAUUUAACUAGUGUACAGUUGACAGAGGAUACCUAGGGAGUUUAUUCCCAUGCUGAGAUACCAAUUCCUUACUACUGUCCACAGCAUUCUUAGAUACUUCCUUUUCAAAGUGAGUCUAGCAGAGGCAAAAAGUUCGUAGUCGUUCAUACUGUAAUUUAGAAUUAUACAAAAAGUGUUUAUGCAUAGACAGUGGAUAGAAAGGCUCAAUUCUGCAACUCAUGUGUUAUCUUUGACUUUUUAAAAGGAGCUGUUCACUAGAGAGUAGCUGCAAGGAAUGGAAAAUUUGAUGAGCCACACUGAGGAAGACUGAGGAAGCGGAGAGCUGACAUCAAUUCACAUUAUGGUGUAAUCAUUUUUCUAUAAACGGAAAACCAGAAGUCUCAACUAUCCCGGACUCCUGAGAUCUCUUAGACAUUGAGCCCAACCAGCAUCAUAGAAGAAUUGGUGGGAGGACACUGACACAUAUACAACAGAGGACUUCCUGGGCUGGUCUCAGUCAAUGUCUUUGAAUAACUGUCCAUUGCAUUUGGUGGCCAGAUGAUGGUGUGAGAUCCCCUGAAACUGGAAUUAGUGAUAUUUGUGAGUUGCCUUGUGGGUUCAGGAGAGUUAACCUGGUUUCCCUGGAAGAUCAGACAGUCCUUUUUAUUACUGAGCCAUACCUCCAUUCCCUCUUCUUAAUUCUGUUUUUAAUUCUUCUCCCACGUAUUACAUCUCCAAAACAGAGCUUUUCAUCUCUCCUCUCCUCAGGGUCAGUCUUCCCCACCUGUAUCUCCCCCCAAGACCGUUCCUGUAUUAUUGUCAUGUGUCUCUAAUGUAGUAUCUUGUUUGUGGAGUUUUGUUAUUUGGUUACACUGUCAGUGCUAAAAAGAUUUGUUGUAAGAUUUAAAUUUGUGUUUUGUUUUUUAAAUAAUUUUAAAGGAAAUUUAUUGUGUUUGCAAAAUAUUGUCAAUAUUAAAAUAUGAACAUUCUCUAUGUUUAUUUUGUGGUUCAGUGGUAGCUAUCAACAUGGCAGAAUCUGAAAUCAACUUGGAGGCAAGUCCUUCGGACAUCUGUGAGGGGUCAUCUUGUUGUUUGAAGAACUAUCUUAAUUGUAGCUAAGAACAUCCCCUGGGUGGAAAAUCCUGUAUUGUAUAAAAUGAUGAAGGCAGGAGAAAUGGCUUCAAUUCAACAUGAAGUUAAUCCCCCAGACCAUCUUAAGAGUCCAAAGGUGACCUGACUAUCUGAGCCUUCAGGAAGACAUGCUUCAUGGAUCUUAAUUUGGAUUUCUGAACAGAGAAACAGGUCAUUGGUAGAUAAGUUAAACUUUCAAAAUCAGAGAGGAUCCUAUAAUUCUUAUCCAGUAUUGUAUAGGUAUCAAUUGCACAUAGCUUCUAAUUAGAGGUAGGACUCCAUUUCUGUUUCUCCUGUUUACCUCUGAGUCUUUUGUUCAGUUUGAACUCAGAAAUCUUGUGUAUGCUUGAAUAAUCGCUGUGAGUGGAAAUGUUUCUAGGUCCUGUUGUACAUGGAAGAGUCUUGUUCUUGAGAGUCAUCUAUCAUCUCUUGCUCCUAAAGUCUUUCUAAUUCCCCUCCCCAUAGAUUUGUGAUGCUUCAGGGGAAAGGUUCGAUGAAGAAAUCUUACUCAGGACAAGUGCUCCAAAGUCUCUCACUGUCUACAAUAUCCAGUUGCAGUUCUCCAAGCUAGUUCCCAUCUACUAGAGGAAGAAGCUCCUCUGAUGUGAGUUAAGUAAUGCACUGGUCUAUGGAUAUAACUAUGUAAUUUUGAGUCACUUCAUUGUAAUGUGACAUUUGCAGAAUUAUACUGGUUUUCUACUAGACCCAUUUUUGGGUUCUUGAGCACAUUAACAGUGUCUUGUAUGAGU
rnacentral:sRNA from 1 species